rnacentral:rRNA from 1 species
UACGUAGGGUGCAAGCGUUGUCCGGAAUUAUUGGGCGUAAAGGGCUCGUAGGCGGUCCGUCACGUCGGGAGUGAAAUCCUGGGGCUUAACCCCAGAACUGCUUCCGAUACUGGCCGUCUCGAGGGAGGUAGGGGCAUGCGGAACUUCCGGUGGAGCGGUGAAAUGCGUAGAUAUCGGAAGGAACGCCGGUGGCGAAAGCGGCGUGCUGGACCUCUUCUGACGCUGAGGCGCGAAAGCCAGGGGAGCGAACGGG